CAGUCGCCGCGGGAAUACGGAGGGUGCAAGCGUUAAUCGGAAUUACUGGGCGUAGAGCGCACGCAGGCGGUUUGUUAAGUCAGAUGUGAAAUCCCCGAGCUUAACUUGGGAACUGCAUUUGAAACUGGCAAGCUAGAGUCUUGUAGAGGGGGGUAGAAUUCCAGGUGUAGCGGUGAAAUGCGUAGAGAUCUGGAGGAAUACCGGUGGCGAAGGCGGCCCCCUGGACAAAGACUGACGCUCAGGUGCGAAAGCGUGGGGAGCAAACAGGAUUAGAUACCCCAGUAGUCCCUGUCUCUUAUCA
rnacentral:rRNA from 1 species